UAAUACGAGUGCCCCAAGCGUUAUCCGGAAUUAUUGGGCGUAAAGGGUCCGCAGGCGGUCCUAUUAGUCUUGUGUGAAAUCUCCCGGCUUAACUGGGAAGACGCAUAGGAAACGGUAGGACUAGAGGAUGUGAGAGGUAUGUGGAACUCAUGGUGUAGGGGUGAAAUCCGUUGAUAUCAUGGGGAACACCAAAUGCGAAGGCAACAUACUGGCACAUUCCUGACGCUCAGGGACGAAAGCAUGGGUAGCGAAUGGG
rnacentral:rRNA from 1 species